rnacentral:rRNA from 1 species
UACGUAGGGCGCAAGCGUUAUCCGGAAUUAUUGGGCGUAAAGAGCUCGUAGGCGGUUUGUCGCGUCUGCCGUGAAAAGUCCGGGGCUCAACUCCCGGAUCUGCGGUGGGUACGGGCAGACUAGAGUGAUGUAGGGGAGACUGGAAUUCCUGGUGUAGCGGUGAAAUGCGCAGAAUAUCAGGAGGAACACCGAUGGCGAAGGCAGGUCUCGUGGGCAUUAACUGACACUGAGGAGCGAAAGCAUGGG